AAGACAGGCUGAGCUUCACAGGGUGGAAAGGAGAGAACAAGGAGAACAUGAAGCGCGCUGCCGUGUGGAGAGAAAAAACAAACAGCAGAAUCAGAGCCAACCCAAGACGCAUGCGACCCAAUCAGGCUGCUUAGGGCCUCCACACCACAAGGGGGCCCCCAAGAGCACCAAACUGCAACGGCUCCGCUUAAGCACGACCAGCGGCGCCCACUGCUGGUUGGCGGCCAAACUACACAAGUAACAGAAGCUCUAACACGAGGAACACAAAUGUCUCACCCGGGUCAGCUCGGACUCUGAGACGGAGCGGUGCGGCGGGGAGCGGCGGUGGUACGAAGGCCGGCGGAG